GGGACUGUGGCCUAGUGGCUAGUGCCUUUGCUAUUGAAUCUGACAUCCCGGGUUCGAUCCCCCUCGGGGUCA